CCUACGGGAGGCUGCAGUGGGGAAUAUUGGACAAUGGGCGCAAGCCUGAUCCAGCCAUGCCGCGUGAGUGAUGAAGGCCCUAGGGUUGUAAAGCUCUUUUGUGCGGGAAGAUAAUGACGGUACCGCAAGAAUAAGCCCCGGCUAACUUCGUGCCAGCAGCCGCGGUAAUACGAAGGGGGCUAGCGUUGCUCGGAAUCACUGGGCGUAAAGGGUGCGUAGGCGGGUCUUUAAGUCAGGGGUGAAAUCCUGGAGCUCAACUCCAGAACUGCCUUUGAUACUGAGGAGCUUGAGUUCGGGAGAGGUGAGUGGAACUGCGAGUGUAGAGGUGAAAUUCGUAGAUAUUCGCAAGAACACCAGUGGCGAAGGCGGCUCACUGGCCCGAUACUGACGCUGAGGCACGAAAGCGUGGGGAGCAAACAGGAUUAGAUACCCUUGUAGUC
rnacentral:rRNA from 1 species